rnacentral:lncRNA from 1 species
GUAUAGGGGCGCACUCGCGUGUCUCUACGAUAUAUCGGUCUGUCCGAUCUGCUUGGUUCGGCUCGGUCCCAAGAGUGCGGCCAUCCUCUCGUCGGCGAGAUGUACGAGUUUCUAUAUUCGUACGCUGCAUUGCGACAUUGCCUCAUAUGAAUCAGAAGCGAGUAGAAUCAUUAUAAUAAUAAAGAAGUCUCAGAACGCUCCAAGUGGAUUUAAAUAACUGAUGAACACGAUUCGUCGAGACGAUUGUAUAUAUUGCGAAUGAUGUUUACUUUUCGAAAACUACUUGUCGGGACGAAAAUUACUUACGGUUUCAAAUUGAUACACAAAUUCAGACGCCCCGAUGCUGCGAACGUGUCAAAAUGAUGUUCAUGUUUAUUUAUGAGAAUUACGGAGUCAUUCGCAAUCAUCUGUCAUCGGAAAUACCGUUGCCGUUUAACACAUGUCGUCCAUAAUAAACGGACGCGUUAUGCAACAUGAAAAAGCACAUCCGACUUUCUGAUUUUCUCAGAAUUUGUCGAAAUUUCAAAUAGAGAUGCCAUUCCAAAUAAACAUGAGAGAGGAAUCUAGACGCGCGCGCAGAUUUAACAAAAACUUUCUAAAAUGAAGGAAGGAAAAAAACAUUUUAUAAAAAUGUAUAAUAUACAUAUAUAUAAUAAUUUGACAAACAUGAUUGCGCUUAUUGUAAGAGAUAGAAGGCUCAUUAAACGCAAUUAAAACUACAUGAUUGAUGCGAAUGGGAGAAAAUUUCACCGACAGCAAGAAUAUCGAUCUUCGCAGAUCUUUCUAAUCAAUAUCACACAAUUAUGUAUGCGAGAUAUUUUGUGAUUAGAGUUUAUCUUAGAAAGGAUAUCGAUUCGCAACGCGUUUCAUUUCGACCUUGUUUCACCGGCCGUUCUCUUGUUAAUUAGGUGAAAUUAAGUCGAGCGUUAAACAUCGUCAAACCUUCCGGAACCGCAAUAAGAAAAAGAUACUAAUUCGCCUUGGGAAAUGUUUCGAGUCUGAGAUCAUCAUCGUCGAAUAACUCCUAUCAGAAUCAGGAUCUAAAUCAGGUUCUUGAAACUCGAUUCAUUGAUUUACGAUUCAUUGAUCGAUAUAAUACGAUGCAAAUAUAGUGAAAAUUUCGACUUGUUUUCAAUUAAUUCCAAAGUAAAUAAAAGUUAGAUCUGUUCUUGUUGAAGAAAAAGAAAAACUAUAAUAGCUGGUUAUAUUAGAGGUCUCUAAAAAAGAAGUACAGUCAGUUUUGUAACAAUCGCGCGUGACCCAGUUGCAAGAAAGGCGAAUGAUUCUUUUUUUUUUUCAAGAUACAGAUCACAUAUGUGUUCUUCAAAAAUCAUAUACAUAUAUUUCCUCGACCCUCGAGGUCCGGGAUCGGGGGGCUCGAGUAAAAUGUAUAAUUAGAAAAUUACGUGUUCCGAUCGCGUGGAAGUAAGAUUCUUCGGAAACUGGUUACGAACGCGCGUCAGGCUCUUCUCAUCGACGGUGAAAGUUGCCCGGCGUGAAAGUGUGCCUUUCUUCUUCCGUUCACUGAUUCACGUUGCCGUGAUAUGUCGAGGAACGACGAGGACGAUUUAUUCUUCGGAGGAACGGGGAUAGUAAAAGCACGUUCUUAGGAUAAUUUACGUUGCGCGAUGAUAGGGGGAAACCCAGCUUCAAGUGUUACAAGGACCUUCUCUAAUAGCAUGUGUAUCGAAAUUAUUCGAUAACUCUCGCAGAACAUGCGGGUUGAAUAAUGUUUGAAACUUGCAAUUGCAUUCAUCUUUCGUGGAGAUUACAUUAUAAUUGUGUGACUAAACAAU